AGCUGGGCAUCCACACCAAUGUCAGGAAGUACGACAUGGUGGCCACAACGUACAUCAAGAAAAUCUCUAUGAAGUGCCUGGAGUUCUCAGAUUCCAACGGUGAACCACUGUGUCUGAUCAGUUCCUCUGUGGAGUCAGGUGCUGACCUCCUCAAAGUGGAAUACUUCAAGGCUGACAGAAAUAGGCCAAACUUUGCCACUGUUCACAAGAAUACUGAGCAGAUGAUCAAUGUGACCUUCACCUCCCUGGAUCUACUACUUCAC